AUCAGGACCAGUAGGCGAUGGUAA
rnacentral:miRNA from 1 species